rnacentral:lncRNA from 13 species
CUAGAAUACCAACUCACCGCAUCAAUGGCAGCUGCCCUACGGAGUCACCUGACUCCCACCAAACUUCACGUAAGUAGUAAAUAACUUUUUUUUCUUAAAGGUACUGAUAGCCGGGUGCGGUGGCUCACGCCUGUAAUCCCAGCACUUUGGGAGGCCGAGACGGGUGGAUCACGAGGUCGAGAGAUCGAGACCAUCCUGGUCAACAUGGUGAAACCCCGUCUCUACUAAAAAUACAAAAAAUUAGCUGGACACGGUGGUGCGUGCCUAUAAUCCCAGCUACUCGGGAGGCUGAGGCAGGAGAAUUGCCUGAACCCAGGAGGCGGAGGUUGCGGUGAGCCGAGAUUGCGCCAUUGCACUCCAGCCUGGGUAACAAGAGCGAAACUCCGUCUCAAAAAAAAAAAAAGAAAAAAAAAAAAGGUACUGAUAGUAGGAUUAAUUUUUACCAUGCAAAGUCUAUUCUAACAUGAUUAAAAAUAUACUCCUUCUUCAAUAUGUUUUCAUCACAGCAGCUGGAAUGAUUCUGUUAAAUCUUCAAAACUCUGCAGUUACUUUUCCCCUCACUUUGAGUAAAUGCUGAAGUUCUUUUGAUCUGUGAGAAUUUGCAUGAUAUGACUCCUCCUCCGGUAGAUUAUUUUUAUGACUUCAUCUUAUCUUCCUCUCCUCCUCCCCUCUACUGUAGACACACUGACCUUCUGGCUGUGCUUGAACACUUCAGACCCAUGACUAAGACCUUUGCCUUUGCCAUUCUCUCAUUCAGUACCUCACAAGGCUAUCUGGACUAAGGAAGAGGAUUCCCAGUCUCCUUUUGAGCUAAGUGAAUUUGUGUACUGGACAACAAGAUGUCAAAAGACAUAAUCUCUGCCACUUGUGUGCAACACCGUAAAGGAAAGGAAAUGCUGUUUCUACCUCUAUUGCCCUUUUACUGUUAGCUAGAAUUUGGAUAGGUGGUAGUAAGCCCGUUAGGAAUUGAGAUGAGGAAAACACUAGAAAAAAGAAGGCUGAUUGAUUACUUUGUAUAGCGCAGCUACCAUAUUAGCUUGAGUCUUUAACUCGUGAGAAUAAAUGUCUGUCCUGUUUAAGCCA